ensembl:lncRNA
GUUAAAUGCCAUAUUGAUGGUUUAACUCUACAGUGUUGAUUUAAACUCAAAAGCUAGUGUUACCGCCUGAAGUCUAUCAUUUCCGUUACUUGCCUGCAGUGAGGCGGGAAACCAGACAGCUUUUUUUUUCACUCGACUGGAUCGGACUGGACACGCUCGUGAGUGGGAGCAUUCACAACACAUCAUGUUGGUCAAAGUGAGAUUUGGUGAAACUCAGAAGUAUGUUAAAGUUGCCCAAACUGAAGAGGGCUAUGAAGACUACAAUACAUUUCUUCAGAAAGUCAUAGAAAAGUUAGGUCUUCCAUUGCAGACCGAGCUGCAUGUCACAGAUGAUUCUGGGACAGAAGUGGAUGCGGAUGUGUAUGAGGAGCUUUUAAAAGCAGGGAAUCUUAUCAUUCAUGUGUCCAAAGAAAAGUCUACAGAUGGUGAGAAACGUUCUCCAGUCUAAGCCGGGGGGGAGAAAAAAUCUUGCACGAGUAUGACAAAACAAAGACAUUGACGGAUGCUACACGGCGACAAAUGGUAAACCUCCUGGUUGCAGACAUGAUGGAAGUACAUGGGAGAAUACCACCAACCCAUGUGCGAACAAAAUAUGCUGUUGGCAUCACCACUCUAUUUCCCAACCUUAGUGAUCCAUACUCUGGAAACGGAUAUGAACACUACUAUGAUGCAGAAAGUGGGUCUGGCUACUUGGCCUGGAGGAUAAAGACCGUUCAGCGCAACACUGCAGUUCAAUCUCGGAGAUGCUCAACCAGCACUACGUAUGGUCCAAAGAGCAAGAGGGAUUUUCUCCUGGCUGACAAGCAACUGUUUGGCGAGGAAUGCUGUGAGGCAAUAUUCUUAUUGAAACAUUCAACUGAUGUGUCAGUUGUCAAAGAUAAGAUGAUGGCAACAUUUCAAUACCGCCAGACGCUAGUUCAGGACCAGCAAAUCUCUGCAACAGUCUUGGAUGUGUUCCCGCGGUUUCUCGACAUCCCCGGCUUGAUUGACCAAGAUUUUACCAUGAUGUUUGGAGAAGAGGUUUCUGGCAGAUUUUUGGCAAAAUGGCCGACGUACUUCAAACCCAGGCUCCUGGCAGACUGCAAGAACCGGACUUCUAAUGAGCAUGUUGAAGAACUCUUGUCUGCGCAGCAAAACUCAAAUGAGUCUGGCUGGGACAGUGACCUGUCAAGCGUUCUACUGCUGGUUCACCUGCUCCCCCCUACGUCAAAAGGCCACAAGAAGAGUGCUAAGAUUAGCUCAUAUCAAGUUGUCAACCAUGUGGCGAGAUAUCUUAAGAUUGGAACCAGUGUUGAGGCCUUCCUAGGGAGCUUGGAACCAGGACAGCCCUUCCUUCUCUGUGUUGGUGAACAGAAGAACAACAUUCAGAGGUUCUAUGUCAUCGUUGACCAGAAGGCCAUCCCUUGCAAGGCGCAAACAUCCCUGGCAGCUUUCGAUGAGCUUUUCAAGGCACACUUCAUCUUCAGUGUUAACUACCAUGAAUCCCUCAACAGCUUCUACACAUUCAUCCAAACCACAGUGUUUAACAUCGACUUGGGAAGUACCAAGGAAAGUCCCAGAGUAAAGGAACUCAGAGCAAGGCUGUUUCACACUAAUAUUUGAGCUGAUACACGUCCUUGUUUGCAAAUAUGCUGAUAUGUUUUAUUUGUAAGGCACACCAGAAAAGUUCUGCAUUGCUUUGUCAGCAUUUGAGACUUCGCCAUGGAUUAUAUCCAGGAAAGACAUUACGUUUGAAAUGUGGACAACCGGGAUGUUAUCAUUUUGUACGUAUUCAGGGUUCAUAAAACACCUUGUUCGUUUGCACAAGGACACUUGUUCACCAAAUAAACACCUCGUUCAUUUGCACAGGGCCACUUGUUCUCCAAAUACUAUUGACAAUGUGGACGCUCAAAGUGAAGGUGAUGAGCCUUCAAGUUCUCAGGCAUUCUGUACAGACACUCCAGUAACUAGCCGGACCUCUGUUGACAAGCAUCAUUUGUUAAACCUGUGUAGAUCUGUUGUAGCACAAUUGCAAGCAUCAGGUGUUGCUGAGAGCACUGUCCAAGCAAUGGUAGGGUCAAUGGAAGAGCUUGUAAAUGACAUUCAUGAGCAAACAAGAGAAGCUGUUCUCAGCUGUACUUCUUCAGAGAUUCAAGCAACCGAUUUGGAAGAAAAGGUGGAAAAUUGUUUUGGUCAAUUGGAAAAUCCUUUCUCAGUCUUAAAUACAGCAGCCAAACGACAGAAGUUCUUUGAGGAAAAGUGGGAAAUAGUUGAACCUGUAGAGUAUGUUCUUGGGGUGCGUUUUGAUUUGUGAAGAGAUCGGAUAACAGGAGUUUACAAUCAGAUCCCUGUAACAGAUAAAUUUGUGUAUGUACCCAUCUUGGGAACCCUGAAAUCUAUGUUUAAGAAUAGUGAAUUAUGUGAAAGUUUCCUGUAAGUCAAGCAACAUAAAGAAGGUGUUUAUAAAGAUAUAUGUGAUGGUUCAUACUUCAAAAGUAAUGAUUUGUUUUCCCAGCAAAAACAUGCUCUACAGAUUCAGCUUUAUUACGAUGAUUUUGAGACGGCAAAUCCCUUGGGUUCAAAGAAAGGGAUACACAAGCUUGGUUGCAUUUACUUUAUAUUGAGGAACCUGCCCCCAAAAUGUAAUUCUGUUCUGAUGAAUAUUCAUGUUGUGGCACUUUUUCAUUCACAAGACCUGAGGAAAUAUGGUUUUGAUGAAAUACUAAAGCCUCUCAUUUAUGAUGUUAAAACACUAGAAAUGGAAGGAAUAGAGGUACCUUUCUCAGACUCACCAUUGCGAGGGACUGUUAUUCAAGUAACAGGUGAUUAUCUAGGUUUGCACGGAUUGUUUGGUUUGAUUGAAUCCUUCAGUGCAACAUAUUUCUGUAGAUUUUGUUUAACUACAAAGGAAGAGUUACAAUCUGUCUUCACUGAAGAUAACCCUUGCUUGAUUUUCCGUACAAAAGAAAUGCAUGCAGAACAUUGUGCAUCUCUACAGGAAAAUCCUAUGUUGGCAUCAACAUUUGGUGUCAAGAAGACAUGCUUGCUCAAUACAUUAUGUUUUUACCACAUCUCUGAUAACUAUGCAGUGGACAUCAUGCAUGAUUUACUUGAAGGUGUAGUGCAGUACAAAUUGAAACUAGUAUUUCAAUACCUGGUCAAUAACAAGAAUCUGUCUUUAGAAACAUUGUCACAGAGGAUCCAAAGUUUCAACUACGGUUAUAUUGAGCGAAAAAACAGGCCAAGUGGGUUGAAAAUGGAUGAGGGUAGUAAAGAUCUUGGAUUGAAUGCAAUUCAGUCAUGCUGUCUUGUGCGAAAUGCUCCCCUGAUUUUUGGUGAUGUAAUUGAAAGAAAUAACAGUCACUGGAACUUGCUCCUCCUCUUGAUUCAGAUAGUGAAUAUAGUGUUUUCACCAGUUGUUACUAAUGGUUUGACGUAUUAUUUGAAGCAUUUGAUUAAUGAUCACCACAAGCUGUUCAGAUCCUUGUUUCCUGACAGAAGAUUAAUUCCAAAGCAUCAUUUUAUGAUCCAUUAUCCAAGGUGCAUUCGUAAAAUAGGUCCACUUCUUCAUGUAUGGUGCAUGAGGUUUGAGGCCAAACAUAAUGUUUUUAAACGAUCUGUUAAAAAUUUCAAAAAUAUCACAAAAACCUUGGUAAAACAACACCAGAGACAGUUAGCUUAUCACUGGGAGAAUUUUAAUUUUCAGAGAUUUGAGUUUGGUCCAGUGAGGAAAGAAAUGAUCGAUAACUUGGAGAAUUUAAGUGCUAAGUUUCAUGUGAAUGCAUU